AUGUUAGCGGCGGACGGGUGAGUAACACGUGGAUAACCUACCUAUAAGACUGGGAUAACUUCGGGAAACCGGAGCUAAUACCGGAUAAUAUUUUGAACCGCAUGGUUCAAAAGUGAAAGACGGUCUUGCUGUCACUUAUAGAUGGAUCCGCGCUGCAUUAGCUAGUUGGUAAGGUAACGGCUUACCAAGGCAACGAUGCAUAGCCGACCUGAGAGGGUGAUCGGCCACACUGGAACUGAGACACGGUCCAGACUCCUACGGGAGGCAGCAGUAGGGAAUCUUCCGCAAUGGGCGAAAGCCUGACGGAGCAACGCCGCGUGAGUGAUGAAGGUCUUCGGAUCGUAAAACUCUGUUAUUAGGGAAGAACAUAUGUGUAAGUAACUGUGCACAUCUUGACGGUACCUAAUCAGAAAGCCACGGCUAACUACGUGCCAGCAGCCGCGGUAAUACGUAGGUGGCAAGCGUUAUCCGGAAUUAUUGGGCGUAAAGCGCGCGUAGGCGGUUUUUUAAGUCUGAUGUGAAAGCCCACGGCUCAACCGUGGAGGGUCAUUGGAAACUGGAAAACUUGAGUGCAGAAGAGGAAAGUGGAAUUCCAUGUGUAGCGGUGAAAUGCGCAGAGAUAUGGAGGAACACCAGUGGCGAAGGCGACUUUCUGGUCUGUAACUGACGCUGAUGUGCGAAAGCGUGGGGAUCAAACAGGAUUAGAUACCCUGGUAGUCCACGCCGUAAACGAUGAGUGCUAAGUGUUAGGGGGUUUCCGCCCCUUAGUGCUGCAGCUAACGCAUUAAGCACUCCGCCUGGGGAGUACGACCGCAAGGUUGAAACUCAAAGGAAUUGACGGGGACCCGCACAAGCGGUGGAGCAUGUGGUUUAAUUCGAAGCAACGCGAAGAACCUUACCAAAUCUUG
rnacentral:rRNA from 1 species